AUGGCCACCACGACGAGCUACGACAACGCCGACGUCCGGCACAGGGCCCUCGGCGUGCACGGCGCGUCGCGCAAGAUCGGCAAGCCGGCGCAGCAGCAGAACCGGAAGCCGGUCAUCAUCUACAUGGUGUCCCCCAAGGUGAUCCACGUGGAGGCCCACGAGUUCAUGUCGCUCGUGCAGCGGCUCACCGGCCCGGAGGUCGCCGGGGAGGACGGGCGGGAGAGGGCGUCCACGUCGUCGUCCUCCCCGAGGACCGCGGCGGACAGGGCCGGGAGGGCGGCGCAGCCGGUGCGCGUCAAGGCCCGCGCCCUCAACCGGCCCGGCCCCGCGGUGUCCGUCUCGGUGACGGCCACGAGGCAGCAGCAGCAGCAGCAGAACGUGCCGCCGUCGUGGGCGGGGCCGUCGCCGUCGCCGACGACGGGGUUCCUGUUCCACGACCUCAGCCCGCUCCGCGGCGGGGCGCUCAAGGGCGAGGCGCCCAUGGUCUCCCCGUGGCUGCACCAGACCAGCGACCAUUUCUUGAGCCCCGGCGGCGCGUCGGCGCUCGGCUCGCCGUCCGGCUUCCUCGACAUCUUCGGGCCGCUCUCGUCCCAGCAGCAAUGA
rnacentral:rRNA from 1 species